rnacentral:rRNA from 1 species
UGCCAGCCGCCGCGGUAAUACGAAGGGUGCUAGCGUUGUUCGGAAUUACUGGGCGUAAAGCGCGUGUAGGCGGCUACGCAAGUCGGAUGUGAAAUCCCAGGGCCCAACCCUGGAACUGCAUCCGAAACUGCGUAGCUAGAGUCUCGGAGAGGAUGGCGGAAUUUCCGGUGUAGAGGUGAAAUUCGUAGAUAUCGGAAGGAACACCAGUGGCGAAGGCGGUUUUCUGGACCAUUACUGACGCUGAGGCGCGAAAGCGUGGGGAGCAAACAGGAUUAGAUA